rnacentral:rRNA from 1 species
GACAGAGGUCUCAAGCGUUGUUCGGAUUUAUUGGGCGUAAAGAGCGUGUAGGCGGCCAUGUAGGUCCGUUGUGAAAACUCGAGGCUCAACCUCGAGACGCCGAUGGAAACCAUGUGGCUAGAGUCCGGAAGAGGAGAGUGGAAUUCCUGGUGUAGCGGUGAAAUGCGCAGAUAUCAGGAAGAACACCCGUGGCGAAGGCGGCUCUCUGGGACGGUACUGACGCUGAGACGCGAAAGCGUGGGGAGCGAACAGG